rnacentral:rRNA from 1 species
GGGGACUCAUAGGAGACUGCCGGGGUCAACUCGGAGGAAGGUGGGGAUGACGUCAAAUCAAUCAUGCCCCUUAUGUCUUGGGCUUCACGCAUGCUACAAUGGCCGGUACAGAGGGUUGCGAUACUGUGAGGUGGAGCUAAUCCCUAAAACGCCGGUCUCAGUUCGGAUUGGGGUCUGCAACUCGACCCCAUGAAGUCGGAGUCGCUAGUAAUCGCAGGUCAGCAUACUGCGGUGAAUCCGUUCCCGGGUCGACGCGGCC